rnacentral:rRNA from 1 species
UUUUCUAGGUUGACCUCGGAUC